CCUACGGGUGGCAGCAGUGAGGAAUAUUGGUCAAUGGCCGUAAGCCUGAACCAGCCAAGUCGCGUGCAGGAUGAAGGAUCUAUGGUUUGUAAACUUCUUUUAUAGGGGAGUACAGGUAUCCACGUGUGGAUUUUUGCAUUUACCCUAUGAAUAAGCAUAGGCUAACUCCGUGCCAGCAGCCGCGGUAAUACGGAGGAUGCGAGGGUUAUCCGGAUUUAUUGGGUUUAACGGGUGCGUAGGUUGUGUUUUAAGUCCGCGGUGAAAUUUUGUGGCUCAAACAUAGAAUCGCCGUUGAAACUGGAAGACUUGAGUGUGUUUGAGGUAGGCGGAAUGCGAGGUGUAGCGGUGAAAUGCAUAGAUAUAACGAAGAACACCGAUUGCGAAGGCAGCUUACUAGGCCAUAACUGACACUGAAGCACGAAAGCGUGGGGAUCAAACAGGAUUAGAUACCCCGGUAGUC
rnacentral:rRNA from 1 species